CUUUGAGAAGAGAGGCAGCUUUGAGAAGAGUGGCAGCCUUGAGAAGAGAGGCAGCUUUGAGAAGAGAGGCAGCCCUCCGACUGCCAGACAACCGCUCUUACCUCCUGAGUUAUGUUGCCCCUCUGAGGCCAGCAGCUCAUUUUCGUAUGGGCACUUUUAAACGAGCAUGAAACCGUGCAGACCCACGGCACACCUGUACAAAGUGUCAUGAUUAAAACUCGGGUAACUAUAUAGCUAGCUAGCUAUGGCAUGUCCUCACCUCUGUAACGUUAUUUGUUGUCCUCCGUGUGUCCAUACACCUGUAUCGGUGGUAUGCGCUAAGUAGGUUAACUAAAGUAAGUGAAACGCUAACAUGUUAGGGUUAGCUAAAGUAACGUUAGGCGAUAAAGCUGUGCUUAAAAAUCUUGUGCCGUUCGAAGUGGUAAUUUUGGGAGAUGCACCUGCGCAUGCGUCCUACUAAACGAAGCACCACCUGCGCAUGCGUCCCACAGGUCGUCCGUGAGUGAGUGAGCCACAAUUUGCCAUGCAUAAUGAAAAAAAGGACGAACAGCUGCUGAGGUGGCAGGAAGGCGUUAGCAAUAAAGACAUCAGAUCAAAGUAAAAAAAAAAUACUGUUUAAGUAGAAUAUAUCAUAUUUAUGAGACGACACAAAAUUAUAAAAAAAUAUUUAAAAAAUAAAAACAGGGAUAGAAAAUAAAUGUACAUGUCAUUAAGUUAAUUAAAAGCAAGUGGAAAGGAAAGCGCCUGUGAGAUUUCGUACCCGGAUGUGUUUGCGCACAUCGGAUAAGGCAUUCUAUAUAUGAGGAUGAUUAAACAGAACAAAUAUAAUGGUGGACAUAAAACGAAGACAGCUACGCAAAAAGGGAUUAAGUCAAUGGCAAACUGCACAAACUAAGUACACAAAAGUGUUUGUGCACUCGUCACACACGUUGUGUAACGUCACAGCUGGCGUCUCCAAAACCAGAAUAUUAAACAAAAAGGCAAUAUUUGAGCUGGGCUCCUGUUCUGGGGUGAAGCGGAUUCCAAUGGGGCAGCCCGGGGGAGACGGGCAUCGUUUGGGCAGCCCAGGGGAAACGGGCAUCGUUUGGGCAGCCCAGGGGAGAUGGGCACAGUUUGGGCAGCCCAGGGGAGACUGGCAUCGUUUGUGCCCAAAGAUGGGUGACCCACUUGACAGUGCCCUCCAAAGACUUGUGUGGCCAGGCACUCCCGUGGCCUGCAGAACACCUGUUACAGGAUUUUGAAAUCAAGGAUGAAGUGUCAAAUAAAACCUGUCGAGAGCAAAUUUACUGAUGGGCUAAACCUUUACAGAACAACAACAAAAAAAAAGAUUUUCCAAUGACAUUCUUAUCAGAAGGAUCAUAUGCAAAUAUGCGGUAUAAUUGAGGUGACGCUUUGUAACUAAGAAAGUGACGAGAAGUAAGUACCUGUGCCUCACAUCCGAGCUGGUCAUUCGCGCGCAGGUGUGUUUGUGAAGGAAGCCAGCGGACGGAACAGCUUUGAGUGAUGUGUACCUGUACCUGAACCUGAACCUGAACCUGAACCUGUACCUGACCACUCUGUGCUGCAGAACGGAGCUGCUCACCUGUGUAAGAGUGACACUGCUCUCCAAAACAUGGGUCUGCCUGGAGCAUGGAGGAGCAUCUCGCCAUACCAAAACCUCAUCAAUCCAGGAAGCUGUAAAGUUCUGGAGGGAAGGAGGCCGUGCUCUCAGUACAGCUGCCGUCUCUCCGUGGUCCUCCUGUUGGUCACGGGGACGUGCAUCUUUCUCUGCGUCACAGACCGCUCUUUGCUGUCGGAACAGUGGGGCCAGGUGUCGUGGGAGUGGU